AGGAAGUUUUUUUUUUAGUGUUUCACUCGUGCUUACUCUUUGCCUACAUUUGUCUAUAUAAACAUUUAAUGUGAUAUGACAUGGAACAUUUUUCUCUGGAUUAUAAUGGAUGGACCUUAGUAAAGCUUUUGUAGACUUUUUGUCUAUCACAGCUGUUAACAGCCUAUGAACACUGGCUGACUGUAAACACAAUUUUUUACGACAGAGCAAGAACAGGAGGUCAUUAAUUUGUGACUGCUUUUAUAAAAAGUAAAUGAGUAACGCUUUUCAAAUGAAAAUGGCCUGCUUAUUAUUUGUCUAUUUUUCCAUAUUAACCUAUUUACUCACUAGGUGACAUUUGCCACUGCUCCACUAAUCACUUGAAGUUUUGUUCACUUUGACCCUGCCCUACAGUGGGUCCUAUGUAUUAUGUAAUGUCCUCUAGGGUCGUGGUUCGUGUUGCUUUUUUUGCAUCGAUAAAGGUCAACAGCUGCACACAAACCCAACACUCAUCCCCGCAGACGCAGUUUGGACUCGCGGGCAGGCAGUGUAAUCGUAUUACAGAGUAGCCUGUGGACAGAGAUCGGCGACUGUCAUGAUUUGUCUCCCUUUGCUACUUGCUCUCUGUGUCUUCACGGGCGACGUCACAUCGCUCCUCGAGCAAACGUUGCAGUGUGUAGGACUGGGUGGAAAGUGCGACCCCCAAGCAGUCUAUGGACAAGCUGGUCACUGCUGUACACUAGGGAUGUGCAGAAUGCAGCAGCAUAUUGGCGGCAGUGUGGACUACGUCUGUCAUGCGCUCAGACCAUAAUGAGCGAGGCCCUCCUAAGAGUUUCAAAUUUUAUGCUCGUUUCAGUGGGUUCAAAAGCAUUUUGAUGAUGGUGAAUGCUCGCGCAAUUCUUUCAAUUGUACAUUCCUGAUAAGAUCUCUGAAAAAGAAAUAGUUCAGCAAGACAGAAAAACUACAAGAUUACAUUUUGAGAAAAUGGAUAAAAAAACAGCAAACAAAUAAAAAGCGGACAUGAAAAAAGAAAAAAAAAGAGUUUGGAUGUGAAUAUCGCCUUUCCAUCCGUCUUCCGGUCUUGAAAUUUACUUAGAUUGGCAAACUGUGCACGAUGCCCUUGCGGAUUGAAUUUACAGGGUAAAUGUUAAAAAUAAUUUUACCUUUUUAUGAAAUGGCUGUCAUCUGAUGACUACCUGCUCUGUUUGAGAUGUGAAUGUCUUCAAUAAAAAAAAAAAGAUUGAGCAAAAAUGUGUCAAUGGC